GGUGACCAGGUAUCACAUGAUAGCCCCAAAGCACGUUUUUCCUAUAAGAUGGAGCCUGUUUUGUUUAGCAUGAUAAUGCUAGGAGCCAGGAAAAACUGGCUAGCUGUCCUUGAAAGAUGAAGCUGAAGAGGAGUGAAAUCUAAAAUAGCUCUAAAGAAAAAAGCCCUCUCUACCAGACAGCCCUCUCUCAAGAAGAGAAUAUGAAAAUACUUCAGUUUAACAAGCUGUGCCUGGUGGACUGCAGAAGGGGGAAAAGAGGUGUCAGCAGGCUCCAACGCUAGAUGAGCUACUGAGGAGAUAUGCCACACUCCCGAAGCACAUGCUGUGGAGACCUAACUAUUAAGAAAGGGCAAACAGUUUUGGAAUGAAUACACCCUUAUGCUCCUUAUGCCAUGGCUUUGGGGACAAAAUGGAUAAUCAGAUGAUAAAAUGUAUGUUGGAAUACUGAAUCAAGUGAGAGGUACUAAUUCACAGGGAUUUUUUUUCAUUUUGGGGGACUUCUGAAGCCUACUUACAAGUGUACUGAACAAUUGUUAUGCAGGAACUCUCCUCCCUCCCCCCCCACCUCACAAGAAGCUUAUUCUUAAAGUACACUUACGAAAUGUAAAUGUUGUGAAUUUAAAACUGUAGCAAAGUCCAAAACAGACCUGUGAAUGAUCUUGUACCACUACUUAAUUGCCUACAUUAGACAUGAUUAUGGUAACAUCUGGCACUGUUCCACAGUUCAUUCUGCACUCUAACAGGCUUCGACUAAGGCAUAACUUCCUGUUUGAGAAAGUUGGUAUCCAGUUGAUGUGAAGCUGAGAGAGAGACUGACAGACUUCCUUUAGGCUAUACAGCUUUGCUUGAUUUCUUAUCAUUUCCAUAGAAAGUGUAAGUUAGGACUCUGAUAUUUUUCUCUGGUAGGCCAAACAUUCAUAUAUAAUACUUAUUUUAAAUACUGUUCAACUACCUACUCUAGUGAUUCUCAACCAGGUAUGUAAAGGCAUAUGGAAGUAAGUGACCAUCCUUGCUCUUCCCCUUCAUCCUUCUGCCUCUGCCCAAAAGAGAAAUAAUCUAGCAGGGUUGUACAGAUCAGUGCUGAGAUGUUGGGUGGCUCUGCACAUGCUAACUUCCAAAUGGUACUACCCUGCCUGCCUGAGAUUCUCUCUGCAGGCAGCCUAACUACCACUACAGAGAGGCAAUCAGCCCUGCACAAAUGCAAAGAGGCUGUGAAAAUCUGAGGGAUAAGAAGACAGGGUCAUAAGAUCAAAAAUGGUGAACUACUAUUCUAUGGCACUUAGUAGGUUGGAUUCUUAAGUCUAGUGCAACAGGUAGGCUAUAUAUUGCCUUCAGUAUUAUUUUUGGCCAAGUGCUUAAGCUUAAUAUUGUUCACCAACAGAUACACGGCUACUUACCACAGGUUUAGUCAUAGAUCUUGGUAUUUUACAAAGGAGGCUGAAUCAAUUACUGGUGAGGAGACUGUUAGCAAAAAAGUGACUUGCCCUAGUCAUCCUGUGGGUUUUAGGCAGACUGAGAAUACCGUUUUGGUGUCUUGCAUCCUAACUUACUGUUUUAAAAAUAGUCCUUGCCCCCUAAUUGCAUCUGAUCACAUACAAAAGAUAAGAAAGGAGAGGUGUGUGGGGUUGUUUUUGUUCUGUUGUUUUUUGGUUGGAGUUUUGUUUUUCAUUUUCUUUUUUUAAGACUUUGGAUCAAACUAACUGUUUAGUAACACUAACUUGGAAAACAAUAUUUCAACAGAAGAUCCCCCUAUUCCAUCUCUUCAAGUGAUCACCGUAUAGGAUUUUGCUCUUAAUCUUUCUGCUAUUAAAACUUUCCACGUGCAAAUAUAAAAUGUAUUAGUUUGUUUUAAAACUGUAAAUAAUGGUAUCUGAAACUUAACACUCUCAAUAGAUUUACUGAUUAGCUUGAUCCAUUUGAGUUCUAAUUUUCAUAAGAGUACUACAUGCAGACACAUUAGUCUCUGCAAUAGGAACUGCACUUUAGUGUAAUAACAUACAAUAUUUAA